GUAGGUGGCAAGCGCUGUCCGGAAUUAUUGGGCGUAAAGCGCGCGCAGGCGGUUCUUUAAGUCUGAUGUGAAAGCCCACGGCUCAACCGUGGAGGGUCAUUGGAAACUGGAGAACUUGAGUACAGAAGAGGAAAGCGGAAUUCCACGUGUAGCGGUGAAAUGCGUAGAGAUGUGGAGGAACACCAGUGGCGAAGGCGGCUUUCUGGUCUGUAACUGACGCUGAGGCGCGAAAGCGUGGGGGAGCAAACAGGAUUAGAUACCCUGGUAGUCCACGCCGUAAACGAUGAGUGCUAAGUGUUAGGGGGUUUUCCGCCCCUUAGUGCUGCAGCUAACGCAUUAAGCACUCCGCCUGGGAGUACGGCCGCAAGGCUG
rnacentral:rRNA from 1 species